ACGGGUGAGUAACACGUGGGAACGUACCUUUCGGUUCGGAAUAAUUCAGGGAAACUUGGACUAAUACCGGAUACGCCCUUUGGGGGAAAGAUUUAUCGCCGAUAGAUCGGCCCGCGUCUGAUUAGCUAGUUGGUGAGGUAAUGGCUCACCAAGGCGACGAUCAGUAGCUGGUCUGAGAGGAUGAUCAGCCACAUUGGGACUGAGACACGGCCCAAACUCCUACGGGAGGCAGCAGUGGGGAAUAUUGGACAAUGGGCGCAAGCCUGAUCCAGCCAUGCCGCGUGAGUGAUGAAGGCCUUAGGGUUGUAAAGCUCUUUUGUCCGGGAAGAUAAUGACUGUACCGGAAGAAUAAGCCCCGGCUAACUUCGUGCCAGCAGCCGCGGUAAUACGAAGGGGGCUAGCGUUGCUCGGAAUCACUGGGCGUAAAGGGCGCGUAGGCGGACUCUUAAGUCGGGGGUGAAAGCCCAGGGCUCAACCCUGGAAUUGCCUUCGAUACUGAGAGUCUUGAGUUCGGAAGAGGUUGGUGGAACUGCGAGUGUAGAGGUGAAAUUCGUAGA
rnacentral:rRNA from 1 species